AUGAGUCGAGGGUCCUCUGGGCCCGAAACCUCCCAACCCUUUGUCUACUGAACCACUGUUGCUUCGGCGGGCCCGUCUUCUCACGAGGACCGCCGGAGGACCCGCCGUCACAGGCGUCCUCUGGGCCCGCGCCCCGCCGAUGGCCCAACCAAAAAAACUCUUUAUUGAACCGUGUCGUCUGUCUGAAUGUCAUAAUAAGCAAAUAAAUGCAA
rnacentral:misc_RNA from 1 species